rnacentral:SRP_RNA from 9 species
UUUUGCCAUUACAAUAAACAUGUCUGAACCAUGUCAGGACCGGAAGGUAGCAGCAUUAAGGGCCUCUGUUUGUGUGUAAUGGCACUUUUU